GAUGAACGCUGGCGGCGUGCCUAAUACAUGCAAGUCGAGCGAACAGAUGAGGAGCUUGCUCCUCUGACGUUAGCGGCGGGCGGGUGAGUAACACGUGGAUAACCUACCUAUAAGACUGGGAUAACUUCGGGAAACCGGAGCUAAUACCGGAUAAUAUAUUGAACCGCAUGGUUCAAUAGUGAAAGACGGCUUUGCUGUCACUUAUAGAUGGAUCCGCGCCGCAUUAGCUAGUUGGUAAGGUAACGGCUUACCAAGGCAACGAUGCGUAGCCGACCUGAGAGGGUGAUCGGCCACACUGGAACUGAGACACGGUCCAGACUCCUACGGGAGGCAGCAGUAGGGAAUCUUCCGCAAUGGGCGAAAGCCUGACGGAGCAACGCCGCGUGAGUGAUGAAGGUCUUCGGAUCGUAAAACUCUGUUAUUAGGGAAGAACAAAUGUGUAAGUAACUAUGCACGUCUUGACGGUACCUAAUCAGAAAGCCACGGCUAACUACGUG
rnacentral:rRNA from 1 species